rnacentral:rRNA from 1 species
UACGAAGGGGGGCUAGCGUUGCUCGGAAUCACUGGGCGUAAAGGGUGCGUAGGCGGGUCUUUAAGUCAGGGGUGAAAUCCUGGAGCUCAACUCCAGAACUGCCUUUGAUACUGAAGAUCUUGAGUUCGGGAGAGGUGAGUGGAACUGCGAGUGUAGAGGUGAAAUUCGUAGAUAUUCGGAAGAACACCAGUGGCGAAGGCGACACACUGGGCCAUUACUGACGCUGAGGCGCGAAAGCGUGGGGAGCAAACAGG